CUGUUAAGAAUAAGAUGAUAUUUGUCAUGAUGAGUAAAGCUACAUCGCAGUUGAGUCAUGUACAUUAUCGUGCUUCUGUAUAAUGAAGAUACAGGUCUGUUGCGUGUUUUAGCGGAUAUGAACGAGGCAGAAACCGUAACUUUUGGACUUUCGACGCCCUUGAUUUUUUAUUUCACAUUUCUCAUGCUGGCUCUCCUUCUGCGCUUUAUCGUCCUUUGGAUUAGAGGACUAAAGAAAAAAGAGGUGGAACCAGACCAAGAACGCCCUCAGCGGAUGUAUGAACUUGUAAGAAUCUCAUAUUGAUGACUGCAGAAUCACACCAACGACG